rnacentral:rRNA from 2 species
UACGGAGGGUGCAAGCGUUAAUCGGAAUCACUGGGCGUAAAGCGUGCGUAGGCGGCCUGUCAAGUCAGGUGUGAAAGCCCUCGGCUUAACCGAGGAAUUGCACUUGAAACUGAUGGGCUGGAGUUCUGGAGAGGGUGGCGGAAUUCCCGGUGUAGGAGUGAAAUCCGUAGAUAUCGGGAGGAACACCAGUGGCGAAGGCGGCCACCUGGACAGUAACUGACGCUGAGGUACGAAAGCGUGGGGAGCAAAC